ACGCCGCCCCCAAAUCCCCCAGCCGCCCCAAACCCUACAGAGCAGACGCCGCCGCUCCGCCGCCGCAAAUCCUCGACCGCCGCUCCGCCAUCCCGUCCGCAGCUACCAUCCCGCAGCCACCGUCAGUGCCGCUCCGCCGUCCCGCAGCCAUGAUGUCGCCAAAGAAGAGGGGCAGAAAGCCAGUGAAGAGGCCACGGAUGGAAAAACAAGUUUCAAGAGGUAUAUACGAUGCUUAAACAAGGUCCAAGAAGAAUCACCCAGCUGAUGUUAAUGCAGUGAGUAAUCAAGCUGAAAAUUACAAUCAGCCUUCAGAGCAAGCUGAUGCUGGUGAGCAAAAGGGCUGCAUUACUGGAGAUGAGCACACAGAGCUGAACCUGGAUGGACAUACUCCAAAUGGCGCCACAAUGAAUAAUGUCAAUGAAAGUGGACAAACACAGGCUGCCAACGUCUCUGAAGCUGAUGCUGCUGGGUGCUUUUUUGGUCAUGGAUGCAUUUUGGCUAUGAGCAGGUGGCUGCAUGGUCAAUGUAAGGUUGUCUUGGGUUACUGGCUGGUGAACUGAUGGAUGGUUGUGGUGUGUUCUGUGAACUGAUGCAUGGCUGUGGAUGUGUAAACUUGGAUGGCUGUGGUGUGUUCUGUGAACUGAUGGAUGGCUGUGAACUGAUGGAUGCUAGUUCUGUGAACUUUUGUAAGGUUUGAUGGAUGUGUAAACUUGGCUGUGUUAUCUCUAUGUUCUGUGAACUCGAAUGAAUCUGAUGGAUGGAUGUGGGGGACCUCUACCUAUUUAUAUAUGAUGACAUAUUUAUAUAAAUCUGUGAUGGCAUAUUUAUAUGAA